UACAGAGGUCUCAAGCGUUGUUCGGAUUCAUUGGGCGUAAAGGGUGCGUAGGUGGCGCUGUAAGUCGGGUGUGAAAUUUCGGAGCUUAACUCCGAAACUGCAUUCGAUACUGCGGUGCUUGAGGACUGGAGAGGAGACUGGAAUUCAUGGUGUAGCAGUGAAAUGCGUAGAGAUCAUGAGGAAGACCAGUGGCGAAGGCGGGUCUCUGGGCCGUAACUGACGCUGAGGAGCGAAAGCGUGGGGGAGCGAACAGG
rnacentral:rRNA from 1 species